AGUAAAAACCCUGAGACAGUAUG
rnacentral:piRNA from 1 species